UAACACCGGCAGCUCAAGUGGUGGCCAUUUUUAUUGGGCCUAAAGCGUUCGUAGCCGGUUUGAUAAGUCUCUGGUGAAAUCCCGCAGCUUAACUGUGGGACUUGCUGGAGAUACUAUUAGACUUGAGGUCGGGAGAGGUUAGGGGUACUCCCAGGGUAGGGGUGAAAUCCUAUAAUCCUGGGAGGACCACCUGUGGCGAAGGCGCCUAACUGGAACGAACCUGACGGUGAGUAACGAAAGCCAGGGGCGCGAACCGG
rnacentral:rRNA from 1 species